rnacentral:rRNA from 1 species
GAUGAACGCUAGCGGCAGGCUUAAUACAUGCAAGUCGUGGGGCAGCAUGAGUAGCAAUACUUGAUGGCGACCGGCAAACGGGUGAGGAACACGUACACAACCUUCCUUCAAGCGGGGAAUAGCCCAGAGAAAUUUGGAUUAAUACCCCAUAAUAUAUUUGAUAAGGCAUCUUAUUAAUAUUAAAGCUUCGGCACUUGAUGAUGGGUGUGCGGCUGAUUAGAUAGUUGGCGGGUAACGGCCCACCAAGUCUACGAUCAGUAGCUGAUGUGAGAGCAUGAUCAGCCACACGGGCACUGAGACACGGGCCCGACUCCUACGGGAGGCAGCAGUAAGGAAUAUUGGACAAUGGACGGAAAG